rnacentral:rRNA from 1 species
AUGGUUACUUAUUCCCAGAGGAUUAGCAUGAGAUGUGAAGCACACCAGAAGAAGUACCCAGACGCCAAGGUCAUCAGUUUGGGCAUCGGUGACACGACCCAACCCAUACCAAGCAUCUUCACAUCUACCAUGACCGAGGCUUUGCCCUUUAGUAAUUUCCUUGUCGGUCUGCCCGUACAGGUAUCUAGGAUUAUUGAUGGUGACAUGGAUGAUUCCUGUGGUCUGGAGAAGGUUGCUUCCAGUCACUUGCCUGGCUAA